GUAGCUUGACUCUCCUGCUAAACUUCAUUCCAUCAUACACAAAUGUUCCUCUGAUCCCAUGUACUUCAAUUUGCCAGACUGAUUUCAACUGUAUGAUGAACAAUCCCAAAGGGGAUUAGGUAUGAAGAGGAGGCCAAGGGGUGACAUGAUAGCCAAGUUACAAUACUUGAAGGGUUGUCAAAGAACAUUCAGAAGACAACCUGACAGCAAAGAAGCUGCAGAAAUAGUGGACUACCUAGUGAGCUACUGAAAGAAGACUGGCAUAACAGCUGACUACAAAGACUGACUACAAACAAUGCAUGAAAAAGUAGCAACAAUAUGCAUUGGAAUAUCUGCAUGAGACAACAUUUGCUGGCAAGCUAGACCGACAAUGUGAUUCACUUUACGAUAGCCAUGCAUUAUUUUUUUUUUAUUUUCCAUUUUUCCAAUUUACAUAACAAUAAGCAUUUUUUAACAGUACUGUGACAUGUGUCUCUUACAGAUAUCUACAUUUAUUUCUAUACAUUUUUGUUUCUCUGUUCUAAACACUUAUACCACUUAUCCCAACCUCGUAAAAUUCUGUUUCUUCCUUGCCUUUUAUUUCUAAUGUGAGAUUAUACAUCUCGGCACAUUCUAAUAUCUUAUGAAUAAUCCUCUCGUUGGCUGGUAUAUUUUCAGGUUUCCAACAUUGGGCAUAAACAAUUUGUGCUGCUGUUACUAUAUGUAAAAUGAUAUGUUGGAGUUGCUUCUUUAUCUUUUGAUUAAUUAUUCCCAAUAAAAAUAGUUCAGGUUUAAAUUCA